rnacentral:lncRNA from 1 species
CAGUUCCCAUGAAUCAUCCACCCGGUUCUAGUCCAGCUAUGAAUAUUCCACCGGGUUCAAGUUCAGCUAUGAGUCAUCGACCAGGUUCAAAUCCACCUAUGAGUCAUCCACCAGGUUCAAAUCCACCUAUGAGUCAUCCACCAGGUUCAAAUCCACCUAUGAGUCGUCCACCGGGUUCAAAUCCACCUAUGAGUCGUCCACCGGGGUCAAAUCCAGCUAUGAGUCAUCCACCGGGUUCAAAUCCAGCUAUGAGUCAUCCAUUGGGCUCAAAUCCAGCUAUGAGUCAUGCACCGGGUUCAA